rnacentral:lncRNA from 1 species
ACAGCGUGAGGGCCGCCGUUGCUGGAGUUCAGCUUAGGGAAGGAGGACUCUGAGGAGGCCCCGAGCGGCGGAGCGCUUCGGGGGAGGCGCCCGCGCAGACGCGAGGCCCAUAGCCAGGACCACCACCUAGCUGUUCUACAGUCUGGGGACGACGGUUUAAAAAUUUAUGCCUUGCAUGCGAUGUGCAGUGGGUGAUGGAAGAACGUCUACAUGGCUUUAAAAUUGGAUUUAAAAGGCAAAUAUUUUAAAUGAAGGAAAACCCAAGAAGUUUACUUGAUUCCUUAUCUUCCAGGAUGCGACUUUUGUUUAUUUAUUUAUUUUAUUUUGAUGGAGUCUCGCUGCCGUCGCGCAGGCUGGAGUGCAGUGACGCGAUCUUGACCCGGGAACCUCCACCUCCCGGGUUCAAGCGAUUCUCCUUCCUCAACCACCCGAGUAGCUGGGAUUACAGGCGUGUGCCACCAUGCCCGGCUAAUUUUUGUGUUUUUAGUAGAGACCGGGGAAGGUAUGGGCCCUCUUUUGAGAAAAAUGCAGAGUGACACUGAAUUUUGUAACUACAUCAGGAGGCUCUUGAACCUUCUGCAGCUCACUCGUGGAGUUUGUAGAGAUGCGUAAUAAUCCGAAGUGUUAAGGAAGAAGGUUCUGUUGAGAAAAAGUUGGAGGGCUGAAAGGGAUGCCUUUCGCUAUUUCGACAUGUGUGGCUGUACCCCAGAGUGCCCUGGCUAACACGCAAAACCAUGAAUUAGGCGGCUUGGCGAGGCUCAGUGGAGGCUGGGGCCGAGAGUCAUGUCAAAGUUUGUGGGGUUAACCUGCACCCAGUGACAGUCAUGGCGAAGUUUGUGAGGUUAACUCGCACCCAGUAACGCUGUUCCAAUGCAAGGUGUGUAUUUGGUGUCAUCCACGGGAAGAGGAAACAGCAAAUUUUCUCAUGGCCUUGGCAGUUCCACAUGAUGGACAUUUCAUAUCUGCAGUUUUCUUCGCAUGAGAUGGCUUUUUUGCACAAAAACACUGGAAUCCAGUGAGCAAGAAUGAUAGAAUGCAAGAUGGAUUUCCACAUGAGGAAGUGUCACGAACAAGCGUUUUGCAUCUCUGUCAGCUGGAUUCCCCCAUGUGAAAAGAACUACAGCCUGUGUGGGUCCCCUCCCGACAAUUAAAAUUGCACCAUAACUCCAAAGAUGAAACGCUCCCAGAAAGAAAAGGCAAAGACCCAUCGGAAACAAAAGAGCAACUUUCACCGCCUGAUACAUACACUUCAUGACAUCCACAUUGAGACAAAAUCUCGCCGUGUGACCUACAACACCUCUCGUUCAACCCCACCUACUUGGGGUCGAAUACAGAUUUUAUCUCAUCAAACAGAAAAAUUCUUAACAGAAAAAGGAAUCCCAAAAAUGACUGGUAAUAUAAUUCUGGCUGCCUUUAUGGUAGUCAGUGCAGCGUCUGCAGAUGCCUCUAAGGAGUCCGAAACCAAGUCCGAAGUCAACAACAAGCAAUGAUGGCGAUGUAUGACGCCGUGCCCAUCCAGUCCAGCGUGGUGUUAUGUUCCUG